rnacentral:tRNA from 1 species
GGAGACAUGACUCAGCAGGUAAGAGUGCUUGCUGUGUAAGCAUGAGGACUUGAGUUCAAAUCUCUGGCACCU